AUUGAACGCUGGCGGCAGGCUUAACACAUGCAAGUCGAGCGAGCGGCGGACGGGUGAGUAAUGUCUGGGAAACUGCCUGAUGGAGGGGGAUAACUACUGGACACGGUAGCUAAUACCGCAUACCAUCAGAUGUGCCCAGUUGGGAUUAGCUAGUAGGUGGGGUAAUGGCUCCCCUAGGCGACGCUCCCUAGCUGGGCUGAGAGGAUGACCAGCCACACUGAAACUGAGACACGGGCCAGACUCCUACGGGAGGCAGCAGUGGGGAAUAUUGCACAAUGGGCGCAAGCCUGAUGCAGCCAUGCCGCGUGGGUGAAGAAGGCCUUCGGGUUGUAAAGCACUUUCAGCGAGGAGGCGUUACUAGAAGAAGAAGCACCGGCUAACUCCGUGCCAGCAGCCGCGGUAAUUC
rnacentral:rRNA from 1 species